rnacentral:rRNA from 1 species
UGGGGAAUAUUUGACAAUGGGCGCAAGCCUGAUCCAGCCAUGUCGCGUGAGUGAUGAAGGCCCUAGGGUUGUAAAGCUCUUUCACCGGUGAAGAUAAUGACGGUAACCGGAGAAGAAGCCCCGGCUAACUUCGUGCCAGCAGCCGCGGUAAUACGAAGGGGGCUAGCGUUGUUCGGAUUUACUGGGCGUAAAGCGCACGUAGGCGGACUAUUAAGUCAGGGGUGAAAUCCCGGGGCUCAACCCCGGAACUGCCUUUGAUACUGGUAGUCUUGAGUUCGAGAGAGGUGAGUGGAAUUCCGAGUGUAGAGGUGAAAUUCGUAGAUAUUCGGGGGAACACCAGUGGCGAAGGCGGCUCACUGGCUCGAUACUGACGCUGAGGUGCGAGAGCGUGGGGAGCAAACAGG